GAAUGACUCUCGGCAAUGGAUAUCUCGGCUCUUGCAUCGAUGAAGAGCGCAGCGAAAUGCGAUAUGUGGUGCGAAUUGCAGAAUCCCGCGAACCAUCGAGUCUUUGAACGCAAGUUGCGCCUGAGGCCAGCCGGCCAAGGGCACGUUCGCCUGGGCGUCAAGCCUU
rnacentral:rRNA from 1 species